rnacentral:rRNA from 1 species
CCUACGGGGGGCUGCAGUGGGGAAUAUUGGACAAUGGGGGCAACCCUGAUCCAGCCAUGCCGCGUGUGUGAAGAAGGCCCUCGGGUUGUAAAGCACUUUCAGUGAGGAAGAACGCCUGGUGGUUAAUACCCAUCAGGAAAGACAUCACUCACAGAAGAAGCACCGGCUAACUCCGUGCCAGCAGCCGCGGUAAUACGGAGGGUGCGAGCGUUAAUCGGAAUUACUGGGCGUAAAGCGCGCGUAGGUGGCUGGAUAAGCCGGUUGUGAAAGCCCCGGGCUCAACCUGGGAACGGCAUCCGGAACUGUCAAGCUAGAGUGCAGGAGAGGAAGGUAGAAUUCCCGGUGUAGCGGUGAAAUGCGUAGAGAUCGGGAGGAAUACCAGUGGCGAAGGCGGCCUUCUGGACUGACACUGACACUGAGGUGCGAAAGCGUGGGUAGCAAACAGGAUUAGAUACCCCGGUAGUC